UAGUCCACGCCGUAAACGAUGGUUACUAGCUGUUUGGACUUCGGUCUGAGUGGCUAAGCGAAAGUGAUAAGUAACCCACCUGGGGAGUACGAUCGCAAGAUUGAAACUCAAAGGAAUUGACGGGGGCCCGCACAAGCGGUGGAGCAUGUGGUUUAAUUCGAUGAUACGCGAGGAACCUUACCAGGGCUUAAAUGUAGUGUGACAGGGGCAGAGACGCCUUUUUCUUCGGACACAUUACAAGGUGCUGCAUGGUUGUCGUCAGCUCGUGCCGUGAGGUGUCAGGUUAAGUCCUAUAACGAGCGCAACCCCUGUUGUUAGUUACCAGCACAUUAUGGUGGGGACUCUAACAAGACUGCCGGUGCAAACCGUGAGGAAGGUGGGGAUGACGUCAAAUCAUCACGGCCCUUACGUCCUGGGCUACACACGUGCUACAAUGGCCGUGACAAAGAGUUGCUACUUUGUGAAAACAAGCUAAUCUCAUAAACGCGGCCUCAGUUCGGAUUGCAGGCUGAAA
rnacentral:rRNA from 1 species